rnacentral:tRNA from 15 species
GCGCGAGUGGCGGAAUUGGUAGACGCGCUGGCUUCAGGUGCCAGUGGCCGCAAGGUCGUGGGGGUUCAAGUCCCCCCUCGCGCA